rnacentral:rRNA from 1 species
GAAAGCGUGGGUAGCGAAAAGGAUUAGAUACCCUUGUAGUCCACGCCCUAAACGAUGAUAACUAAGUGUUGGGAUUUGUCCCCAGUGCUGUAGCUAACGCGUUAAGUUAUCCACCUGAGGAGUACGGGCGCAAGCUUAAAACUCAAAGGAAUAGACGGGGACCCACACAAGCAGUGGAUCACGUGGUUUAAUUCGACAAUAAACGGGAAUCUUACCCAGACUUGACAUCCUAGGAAAUUACCAGAGAUGGUUUUGUGCCCUCACGGGAACCUAGUGACAGGUGCUGCAUGGUUGUCGUCAGCUCGUGCCUUGAGGUGUUCGGUUAAGUCCGUUAACGAGCGCAACCCAUGUCUUUAGUUAUAUGUCUAAAGAGACUGCCUUGGUUAACAAGGAGGAAGGUGUGGAUGACGUCAAAUCAGCAUGGCUUUUACGUCUGGGGCUACACACAUGAUACAAUGGUAUGUACAAAGAGCAGCAAUAUGGCGACAUUGAGCUAAUCUUAAAAGCAUAUCUCAGUCCGGAUUGAAGUCUGAAAUUCGACUUCAUGAAGUUGGAAUUGCUAGUAAUCGUGAAUCAGAUAUGUCACGGUGAAUAUGUUCCUGGGUCUUGUACUCACCGC